AUUGCAAGGCAGUUUUCCUGCCUCUGCAGGGGGUGAAAACUGGAAAGGGGAGAGAAAAAAAAGACACUUUUUACGCCGCACUCAAGAUGGCGGCUCAGGGCGGCACUCACUUGCCCUUGCAAUGAUGGCGGCAGUGUGCUCAUGCGCCUUGGGUAGGGAGAAGGGAGGGCGGUACGGGAAAUACCCCGCUCCGUCUGAUCGGAAAAGUGCUUUCUCCUGGGUCUGGGCGGUAUUGAGGUCACAGCGAGUUCCAAAUUAUCCUUGUGCCUCUCCUGUUGUGACUAAGUCGGUGUUCCCUGAGUGGCUGCAGCUCCCUGCGUGUGGAGGGAAGAAGCCUGUGCUGGAGAAUGGGAGGAAGGUCCCUGCUGGUUGCUGUGUCCUUGGUGGGCACAGAACUCUGGCCAGGUGGCUUGGACAGGGAGAACCACUGAACUUGUCCUGGCCUUGCCAAGAGCUUUGGUGUUUGAGCUGCCAAACCCAAACUGGUCCUGAUGAUGGAGGACUUAAGAAAUUACUUAAUCCAACUAAAUGCUUUAAAAAGGGAGAUGGUUUGGUUAUAAAAAUAUUUCUGCCUGAGACUGGGAAGAGACUGGGAAGACUUAAACCCUCCAAUUCUGCACAACAGCGCAAGGAUUUUUUAAUUCUUCGCCUUUUUUUCCCUUCCUUUGAGUGGGUUUGUUUGUUUCCCCUUGGAGACUGCACACACAAUAGGCAGAUUUUUCAAUUAAGCCUUUUUUUCCCCACUUUUAGUCUUCAGUGGAGCCCAGGUGCCAAUUGUUUGCUGCUUGGUUUCUGCCUUCCCUUUCCUGCCUACAGCUUAACCCCUUUCUCACCUUCCUGCUUUUUGGCCAUCACUGGUCAUGCAGAUGAUGCUGAUGCAGAUGGCUGAUAAAUAAUUAUCAAACAGCUUGGGAAUGGUCUGUAUCAGGUAUCAGUGACAUUAAAAAAUGCAGUAUAUGGACCAUCAACCAAUGAAUUUAGCAACAGUUGGAUAGUAACUAAUCAUCUUUCCUUUAAAGCCCUCUUCAAAGCAUAUUUACUUAUAAAGGGAAAGCAUUUGGUUUUUAUUUUAAAAAAUCACCAACAGCCAGCUUAAGUGAGCAUGGAAGACUGCCAAAGACAUUGUAAUGUUUUUUCUUUUAAAUCCCUCACAAUCCCAUCACGUACUGGGGAGGCAGCUCAGCGAGUUUCAGCCCACAGCUGCCAUCCUGGGCUCAUGGAGAGCAACCUCUCCAGCUGUCCCAGCCUCAGGAAAGCACAGAAGAGGGCUUUACACAGAUCAGGGAUUAAGCUAGACCCAGGUUGGGCUCAGCUCAGUCACCAUGGCACUGUUAGAAGCCUUAAACCCUUUUUCUAUCCGAUUGAUUGUGGUUGUGGUGCAGCCACUGUGUUGCUGUCAAUGUGCUCCCCUGCAGCCUAGCCUGACAUGGUGAGCAGGGGCUUGGGGUUCUGCCUCAUGUGUUAAACAUCAAACCAGAAGAUAAAACAACAGAUAAAACCCCUGCCCUGCCAUGUGCCUCACUCUGCACCACUGCUAUGAGAGGAGGGUGAAAGACCCAGUCAGUUUUAGCUCUGUAAAGAAGCUGCAGAGCAGUGAUGAGUGCCUGAAUCACAUCCUCUGCAGCUAUCAGGGGAGUGAGGGCAGGGAAAAGGGCAGAGAAAGGGAAAUAAAAAAACAACAGAGUAAAAUUGACCCACCAAACUCAUCUUUGUCUCAAUCCUAAUCCCUGCAUCAUUCUUCAGGUAUAUAUCCUCACAAUGAAAUUGGAGUAGAAAAUGCUUUAGGAAAUGCUUUGCAGCCCCUUCUUCCCCAAAGGCCCAAUCUGCUUUAAUUAGGAAUGCUCUUCAAGCACAAGGUUUGGAUGCAGCCAGUGAGACUCACAUUUCAGAAGGACCAUCAAUGGUCUGAUAAAGACACAGCACUUUCAAGCAGGCUGCUGGGACUGAGGAGGAUAUUUGAAACCUGUUGACAUGCAGUUCUAGCAGAAGUGCAAAAUGAAAUGUAAUGUAGUAGAACUGGAAAAUGAAAUGCUGUUAGACAAGGCUGCUCCCCAAAUUGGCUCUGCCUGGAUCCACCUGCCCCGCAGCACAGCCUUCUCCCUUUCUCCUCACUGCCCUAUGCUCAGCACCAACCCAAACCUGGGCUAUUUCAAUUCCUGUCAGACACAGAGCAGCUGAUGGGCAGCAAAUGCAGCCUUCCCAAAGUGGCUGCCCAUGACCCGGCUUGUAGGGCAGAGCUCAGGGAGGAGGUGGCAGCUUCCUCAGUGGCUUUUCAUGUCCUCUCUCUGCCAUGCAGACACUGGCAUGCAUGGCACGGCUCUGUUUUGGCAGCCGGUCCCUUGGCAGGGCUGUGUGAGCACAGGCUGAGCACAGGAUGAACUCUCUCCUCCUUGCUGUGACAUCUGGGCUGGCAGGUGACCUCGGCCAUCACCUGGCACUGACGUGUUUGAUGAAAAUCCUUUUGCUGGGAUUUUUCUCCUGAGAAGCCUCAGAACAGAAAUGGAACCAAUAACAAUCUGCUGGCUGUGGAGUGUGGGCUGGAGAUGGUUUAGCAACAGGGGCAUCUUGGAUUAGUCUCCUGUGCGUUGUUUCUACUUGAUGACCAAUCAUGGUCCAGCUGUGUCAGGGCUGUGAGCAGUCCCAGGUUUUUAUUCUUCAUUCCUUUCCAGCUUUUUGAUGUCUCCUUGCUCUUUUAGUAUAGUUCUAAUAUAUCAUUUUCUUUUAAUAUAAUAGAGAUCAUAAAAUAAUAUUUCAGCCUUCUGAAA